GACGAACGCUGGCGGCGUGCUUAACACAUGCAAGUCGAACGGAGUGCCCAUGACAGAGGUUUCGGCCAAUUGAUUGGGUUACUUAGUGGCGGACUGGUGAGUAACGCGUGAGGAACCUGCCUUUCAGAGGGGGACAACAGUUGGAAACGACUGCUAAUACCGCAUGACGCAUGACUGGGGCAUCCCGGACAUGCCAAAGAUUUAUCGCUGAAAGAUGGCCUCGCGUCUGAUUAGAUAGUUGGCGGGGUAACGGCCCACCAAGUCGACGAUCAGUAGCCGGACUGAGAGGUUGACGGCCACAUUGGGACUGAGAUACGGCCCAGACUCCUACGGGAGGCAGCAGUGGGGAAUAUUGGGGCAAUGGACGCAAGUCUGACCCAGCAACGCGCGUGAAGGAAG
rnacentral:rRNA from 1 species